rnacentral:tRNA from 1 species
UGGUCUGUAGUUCAAUGGCAGAACGCUCGCCUGUUAAGCGAGUAGUUGUUGGUUCGAGUCCAGCCAGGCCAGC